AACGAACGUUAGCGGCGCGCCUAACACAUGCAAGUCGAACGAGAAAGGGCUUCGGCCCCGGUAAAGUGGCGCACGGGUGAGUAAUACGUGGAUAAUCUUCCCUCGAGCGGGGGAUAACAUUCCGAAAGGAGUGCUAAUACCGCAUAAGACCACGGAGCCGAAAGGCUCUGAGGUAAAAGCAGGCCUCUAUACAUAAGCUUGCACUUGAGGAUGAGUCCACGGCCCAUCAGGUAGUUGGUAGGGUAAUGGCCUACCAAGCCUAAGACGGGU
rnacentral:rRNA from 1 species